rnacentral:lncRNA from 1 species
AUAUUUUCUUGUUUGCUUGAUUCUGGAUUGGGUUUGAACUGAACAAAGAGAAAAUACCAAACUGCUGGUUUCCAUUGCAGAUUCCUCCAAUAUUUCUUACUCUGCCCUAGGGACUCCACGAAGCAAAAAGUUCUAUUGGACCUGAUCUGAAGCCUUUACUGUUAAUCAAGAGGGGAAGAUUAGAGGAGAUCAGAACUACCAGCCUGAAGAACGCUUUGCAUUUGACUACACCUUUCUACCAGCAUGUUUUUCUGCUGAAAUCUCUGCAGGGAGAAGUUCUCCAGGUAAAUGAAGAGCUGCUUCAACUCAGAGGCACAAUGACCAAAGCACUUGGCAGUGGGCAUGAAAACGGAGACUGAACAUUAAGAGACUGGUAAGAAAUGCAGGUAAAUAAUACAGAGCACCAUUAUUUUAGUGUUAUUUACUGAAAAAUGGUGAUGGAGGACAAAA